rnacentral:rRNA from 1 species
CGGGGUGGAGUAAUGUCUGGGAAACGUGCCUGAUGGAGGGGGAUAACUGCUGGAAACGGUAGCUAAUACCGCAUAACGUCGCAAGACCAAAGAGGGGGACCUUCGGGCCUCUUGCCAUCGGAUGUGCCCAGAUGGGAUUAGCUAGUAGGUGGGGUAACGGCUCACCUAGGCGACGAUCCCUAGCUGGUCUGAGAGGAUGCCAGCCACACUGGAACUGAGACACGGUCCAG